CAUUAUUGAAUUUAAACUUCUUAAGAAUAAUGCUUUGAUGCAGAAUGUUAUAUACUUUUCUUGCUGGGGUAAUAUUUUGUCUUACAUUUUGUGAACUUUUUUUUAAAACCAGCAAUUGGAAAGUCUUAUAUUUCAAGACUAAGAACUGGAAUUUCAUUGGUUAACCUCAAGCAAAAAAGAGGAUGCCUGGAAAAUUCAACUCCUAUAAUACGGAAAGGAAAAGGUCAGAAGAGGAUAAUUAAGAAAUGGUGGCUUGUGGGAUGUCUGAUGGAGAUGGCACAAGGAGCUAAAGCUGCACACUUCCAAGUAACCCAUUGGCAUUAGAACUAGACAAAAUCUCUUUUCCUGCUUUAAUACUUGGAUGACAGGGAGA
rnacentral:lncRNA from 1 species